rnacentral:snoRNA from 1 species
AAAUGAUGAUAUUUUUAGAUGACGAGUCUGAUCGAGGUUUUUCUCGCUGAAGACACAACUAAAUUAUAUUCCAUUCAUGCAAUUCUGAUG